GGCCUAUUAGCUCAAUUGGCAGAGCAGCUGACUCUUAAUCAGCGUGUUCUGGGUUCGAGUCCCAGAUAGGUCA
rnacentral:tRNA from 1 species